CGCCUUGCCAGCCCGCUCAGAAACUUAAAGGAAUUGACGGGGGCCCGCACAAGCGGUGGAGUAUGUGGUUUAAUUCGAUGCAACGCGAAGAACCUUACCUGGUCUUGACAUCCCGGAGACCCUUAGGAAACUAGGGGGUGCUUCCAUCUGGAAGAAUCUGGAGACAGGUGCUGCAUGGCUGUCGUCAGCUCGUGUCGUGAGAUGUUGGGUUAAGUCCCGCAACGAGCGCAACCCUUGCCUUUAGUUGCCAGCAGUUCGGCUGGGCACUUUAAAGGGACUGCCGGUGUUAAACCGGAGGAAGGUGGGGAUGACGUCAAGUCCUCAUGGCCUUUAUGACCAGGGCUACACACGUACUACAAUGGCCGAUACAAAGGGCAGCGACACUGCGAGGUGAAGCCAAUCCCGUAAAAUCGGUCUCAGUCCGGAUUGGAGUCUGCAACUCGACUCCAUGAAGUUGGAAUCGCUAGUAAUCGUGGAUCAGCAUGCCACGGUGAAUACGUUCCCGGGCCUU
rnacentral:rRNA from 1 species